rnacentral:lncRNA from 1 species
GAAAAUAUAUUUUCCACUCAUUUAAGUGGUAAUAAGCUAGAAUAUCAAGCAUGAAAGCCGAUGAAGUGUAUCAAUAAUUAAAGGAUAAUAUAAUAAUAAUGGGAAAAGCUAAACAGAGCUUCUGACAGUGGUAUUCCAAAGGCCAUUGAAUCUAUUACGAAGCUUUUCAACCUUGUUCUCUCGAGAUUCAAGGCAAAUUAAAUGACCUCCAGUUCGCGGUUUUCCGACGAAGCAACAGUAUGCUCAACAAUCACAAACUGCAAUGGUAAUUAAUUUUCAUUCAAGGUAUUAUUAGACUAUUUUAUGACAUAAUUAUUAUUCUUUUGACAUGGGUAUUCAAAUAUGAGAUUUCUAAUUUAAAAAAGAAGAGCUAGAUUUUUUAUUUUUAAAAGAAAAUUUUCAUCCGUAGAUUUAUGAUUUGAGACGUAGAACCUCGAGAUAUGCUCCAAUAUUUGAAAUCGGGUUGACAUUGGUAGAGAUUUUCUAUACCUUAAAUUUAAGAUUUGGAAGUCUAUUUAUUAUUGGAAUUUGGUAAAAUUGAUAUGGUUGAACUCGUAAUUGAAUGAGUUUUCAGAUUUUACAAGUUUUGUCGGAUUAGAGAUUUGGGCCCCACGGGCAAUUUUUGAGUUAAGUUUUGAAUAUGUUAGAAGAUUUGUAAUUUCAUAUGGAAUCAAUUCGUACAAUUUAUAUUGGGUAUAUUAAAUUAUUAUGACUAGAUUUGAAGCUUCAGACGAAUUCGCGAGGCAAAGGCUUGUUGGAAUUUUGAAUUUGGUUUCAAAGCGAGGUAAGUGUUUGAUCUAACUUUGGCUUGAGAGAAUAUGAUUAGAGUAUUGUUUGCUAAUUGCUAAAUGUUGAGUACGGUGUAUAGGCAUGGUGGCGAGUAUCUAUACACUGGAGUCUAGCAUGAACGUGAGUCUUUGUAUGUGAUUAUUCGGAUUCUGUGGUGACUCUUCCUUGUUAAUUAUAAAUUCCAUGUAAUGUGAAGAGUUUGAGAAGGAAUUAUGAUUUAUAUAUUCUUGGAGUGUUGGCUCGAAUGGUGAUAUGAUAAUGGAAUAAGGAUUGGACAAAAGAGAAAGAGAUGUAAUUAUCCCCUUGCCGGGACGUGUAAAUUAUUGUACUAUUGUUCACUUGUCGGAAUACUAUUGUUUUCCCUUAUCGAGAUAUUAUUGUUUGAUAUUAUUUUUUCUUCCUGGAAUUUGAUUGUUGUACUAUUGUUCCCUCACCGGGUGAAUCGCUAUGUUACCAAGUUCCGUUAUUGGGAUCCUCUCUAUAAAGACUUAUAUAUUAUGAAAUGAGAUUGUGUGGCACGCCAACCACUAUAUUAUAAAAUGGGAUCGUGUGGCACCCCGACCACUUAUAUAUUAUGAAAUGGGAUCGUGUGGCACCCCGACCACUUAUAUAUAUUAUGAAAUGGGAUCGUGUGACACGCGACCACUUAUAUAUUAUGAAAUGGGCUCUUGUGGUACGCCUACCAUGAGAUAGAUAAGUUGAAAGUGAAAUUUCGAUGUUUGAUUUUCUUAUCCUUGUCAGUGAUUGGAUUUUUGGUGUCGUGCACCUUCGAUUUACUAUGUUUAGUUGUUAUGUUCAAUUCAAAUAUUUUAACUGUUGAGAUUCGUUUAUUGUUAUGAUGAUUGUGUUAAAACAUACAUUGUUUCGAAUAUCUCAUCGCAUUUAUACAUAUAUAUAUAUAUGUAUAAACAUUCCAAUACUUCGAACAUCAAUAAUUAUUACAUCCUUAAUUCAAUUAGUUUCUCAACUAUAUCCCCUUAAACCGUUUGAGGUUGUACUUUACUUAAAAAGGAAAAUCUACUAUGUUUUUUAUUUAUUGAUUUCUCGUAUUAAAGGUGAUGAUUCAUUCGGUAUUGUACUUUAAUUGAAAAGGAUAUUUUCUUUAUCAAAUAAUUACUAAAAAUAACUUCAUCUUUUCUUGUUUAUUUCCUAAUUGGGUUGGAAGUUGUACUUAACUUUAUAUUAAGUAAAUGAGGCUCUUUGAGAAUCCUUAACUGUAUUUGGUUACGGACUUUGUGAAUUGAAUAACAUGAGAAUUUUGUUGCGAAAUGUGAGACAAAAGCAUGUGGGCACAAGGUGCCGGGAAAAAUAUGAUGAUUUCUAUUAAUGGAAAAUUAUGAUAUAGGCAUGAGGUGCCGGGGAAAAUAUUAUGGUUUUAUUUAACGGCACGUGAGUUGUCCGUGUGAUUGUGAUAUAAAAAUGAGCACGAGGUGCCGUGAAAAUAUGAAAGUGGGCUGAGACCUAUAUUAUUUAUGAUUUUGAAAUGAGGUAUUACAAGGUGACCUUUACUCGAAAUAAUUAUAUUUGAAAGAUGCUUAUCUGAAAGAUAUUUUAUUUAAAUGAAGUAUAUUCAAAAUAUAUUCACUGACAAGCAUAUUACUUUAGAGAUUUAUAUUUGAUGGGCUUGAUUAAUUGAUUGUACUUGUAUUUAUUGUUUGUUGAGAAACAAUUAUGUUGUCCUUGUUGCCUGCUAUUUAUAUCAAUGGUUUAUCAUUGUUGCCAUCAUUAUUAUCUGCUUCCAAUUAUGUUGUAUGAUAUUUUGCACAAGUUUAUUUGGUAGUCUUGUCCUAGUCUCGUCAUUACUUCGCCAAGGUUAGGUUAGGCACUUACCAGCACAUGAGCUCGUUUAUACUGAUACUGCACUUCUGUACAUUUUUGUUGAUUGAUAGUAGUUAUCGUUGCGGUGGAGACUCAAGGUAAACCUUCUACAACAUUCGCAGUUCUCAGAGUCACCUUCAAUUGUACUUAUUUUCAUUUGUUCCCUUUCUUUCGAACAGUGAUGUAAUUAUUUUUUAUGACUACUCCUAAAAAGGCUUAUGACUUGUACUACCGGAUUUUAAAAGUUCUUCAUUGCGUAAGGGAUUCAUCUCAUAAGAAUUAUAGCUGUUAUUAAUUAUUGUUGUUAUUUCACAUUUUUGUAGGCUUACCUAGUCCUUAAGAUUAGGUGCCAUCACGACCCUUCGGAGGGAUUUUUGGGGCGUGAAAACACCAAUAUCCUCUGUUUCUUAACCGUCCUCGACUUUUCUUCUUCAUGAUUUUUUACCCUCUUUAAUAACUCAUACAUCAUAACCAUGGAAAAAAUCGUAUUUACCAUUGGUAGCUUUCCCAAAUCUACAGCCACAGAA